ensembl:snRNA U6 U6 spliceosomal RNA
AUACAUGACAGCAGAAUGAAUUUCAAUUAAAAUUGGAAUAAUACAGAGAAGAUUAGCAUGCCCCUGCGCAAGGAUGAAAAUGCUUUUAAUACACCUAACCUAAUGAA